AGCAUAUACAAACCACUACAUUAUCCCUUCUUUAGGACUCUACCAUCUGGGAGCAUUCUUAACAUCCUGUAAGAAUUCUCAUGGUUAAACUCAGUCCCACAGGUAAAGAGUGCUGAGAUUGUUGCCAGAAGAAAACCUACCAGUAUUGGCUCCACCAGCCCAAAGCCUAUGAGUCCAUUGCAGCCAGCACAUAGCCACUGCUCCUUGCCUCAGCAGUUAAACUCAUUUUGUGACCCUCCUCACUAUCAACUGUGAUUCUUCCUCAACUCUACAGUUCGGAUCAGGCUGGCUGCCUGAAGAGUCUCCUCCUGUGACAUUUGGACAUCAUAAAGCUGUGUGUUUCUGAAAGACUGAAAAGUGCUGUGGUCUUCAUGUCAGCAUUCAUAAUCCAACUGUUAGAACAUGUUUCACCCAGACAUCCACCAUAUUGAAAUCCUCCUCCCACUAGUUUUCCCCAGCAACCCCCUUUCUUCUGGGUUAGCUAUGCACUCUCUUCUGCAUGGACCACCACUGAGGACCUGUGUAAUACAGCACACUUGACUUCAUAUGAUUACACCACCCAUUGGGUAGUAAUCAUACUUUAAUAAUCCAUUCUUUUCUCAGUCUGCAUUCCCAGCUGAUAGUUGUCAAUUAAUAAACGCCAGUUGUAUAAACCCA